GAAUAACGGUGCCCGUACCGCAAACCGACACAGGUAGUCAAGAUGAGAAUUCUAAGGUGAGCGAGCGAACUCUCGUUAAGGAACUCGGCAAAAUGACCCCGUAACUUCGGGAGAAGGGGUGCUCUUUAGGGUUCACGCUCUGAAGAGCCGCAGUGAAUAGGCCCAAGCGACUGUUUAUCAAAAACACAGGUCUCUGCUAAACCGUAAGGUGACGUAUAGGGGCUGACGCCUGCCCGGUGCUGGAAGGUUAAGAGG
rnacentral:rRNA from 1 species